UGGGGAAUAUUGCACAAUGGGGGAAACCCUGAUGCAGCGACGCCGCGUGAACGAAGAAGGUAUUCGUAUCGUAAAGUUCUGUCCUAUGGGAAGAUAAUGACAGUACCAUAGAAGAAAGCUCCGGCUAAAUACGUGCCAGCAGCCGCGGUAAUACGUAUGGAGCGAGCGUUGUCCGGAAUUAUUGGGCGUAAAGGGUACGCAGGCGGUUUAAUAAGUCGAAUGUUAAAGAUCGGGGCUCAACCCCGCAAAGCAUUGGAAACUGAUAAACUUGAGUAGUGGAGAGGAAAGUGGAAUUUCCAGUGUAGUGGUGAAAUACGUAGAGAUUAGGAGGAAUACCAGUAGCGAAGGCGACUUUCUGGACACAAAAUGACGCUGAGGUACGAAAGAGUGGGGAGCAAACAAG
rnacentral:rRNA from 1 species